rnacentral:rRNA from 1 species
CCUCAGUAACGGCGAGUGAAGCGGCAACAGCUCAAAUUUGAAAUCUGGCCGUGCGGCGGUCCGAGUUGUAAUUUGGAGAGGAUGCUUCGGGUGCGGCGCCGGUCUAAGUUCCUCGGAACAGGGCGUCAUAGAGGGUGAGAAUCCCGUAUGUGACCGGUGACCCAGCCCGUGUGAAGCUCCUUCGACGAGUCGAGUUGUUUGGGAAUGCAGCUCUAAAUGGGUGGUAAAUUUCAUCUAAAGCUAAAUACCGGCCAGAGACCGAUAGCGCACAAGUAGAGUGAUCGAAAGAUGAAAAGCACUUUGGAAAGAGAGUUAAAAAGUACGUGAAAUUGUUGAAAGGGAAGCGCUUGCAACCAGACUUGCUCACGGGUGAUCAGCCGUCCUUCUGGGCGGUGCACUCGCCCGCGAGCAGGCCAGCAUCGGUCUGGGCGGCCGGAUAAAGGCCCCGGGAAUGUGCCUCCCCCCGGGGAGUGUUAUAGCCCGGGGCGCAAUGCGGCCAGCCCGGACCGAGGACCGCGCUUCGGCUAGGAUGCUGGCGUAAUGGUUGCAAGCGACCCGUCUUGAAACACGGACCAAGGAGUCUAACAUCUAUGCGAGUGUUUGGGUGUCAAACCCACACGCGUAAUGAAAGUGAACGGAGGUGGGAACCCUCUAGGGUGCACCAUCGACCGAUCCUGAUGUCUUCGGAUGGAUUUGAGUAAGAGCAUAGCUGUUGGGACCCGAAAGAUGGUGAACUAUGCCUGAAUAGGGUGAAGCCAGAGGAAACUCUGGUGGAGGCUCGCAGCGGUUCUGACGUGCAAAUCGAUCGUCAAAUUUGGGUAUAGGGGCGAAAG